AUUGAACGCUGGCGGCAUGCCUUACACAUGCAAGUCGAACGGUAACAGGUCUUCGGAUGCUGACGAGUGGCGAACGGGUGAGUAAUACAUCGGAACGUGCCUAGUAGUGGGGGAUAACUACUCGAGAGAGUGGCUAAUACCGCAUGAGAUCUACGAAUGAAAGCAGGGGAUAGCACAACCUUGUGCUACUAGAGCGGCCGAUGGCAGAUUAGGUAGUUGGUGGGAUAAAAGCUUACAAAGCCGACGAUCUGUAGCUGGUAUGAGAGCACGAUCAGCUACACUGGGACUGAGACACGGCCCAGACGCCUACGGGAGGCAGCAGUGGGGAAUUUUGGACAAUGGGCGCAAGCCUGAUCCAGCAAUGCCGCGUGCAGGAUGAAGGCCUUCGGGUUGUAAACUGCUUUUGUACGGAACGAAAAGCCCUGGGUUAAUACCCUGGGGUCAUGACGGUACCGUAAGAAUAAGCACCGGCUAACUACGUGCCAGCCGCCGCGGUAACAC
rnacentral:rRNA from 1 species